CAUAUGUCUACCCUUGUUCCGGUACCACGUUUUUAUUACUGUAGUUUGUAGUAAGUUUCAAAAUCGGAAAAGGGGCCAGCCCGUGGCCAAGUGGUUAAGUUCGUGCGCUCUGCUUGGUGGCCCAGCAUUUCGCCAAUUCAUGUCCUGGGCUCAGACGCGGCACCGCUCACCAGGCCAUGCUGAGGCAGCGUCCCACAUGCCACAACUAGAAGGACCACAACUGAAAAUGCACAACUAUGUACCAGGGGGCUUUGGGGAGAAAAAGGAAAAAUAAAAUCUUUAAACUUUUGAGUUGUCGAUUUAUUUAGUCAGAUAGCUGGGUUUGAGAAAGAAAAGGGAAAUAAGACAAAAUUUAAUAUAUCAAGGGAAUUAACACUUAUACUAAAGGUUGUUAAUGAAAGUUUUGGGUCUUCUAGUCAUAACAGUCCAGUCCAGAAAUCUCUGUUCCUAAAGUUAUUUUAUUUGUAGAGAUUCUAGAAAGCAAAUGCUUUUUAGCUAUUCUUAAAGUAUAUUUGUUUCAGUUGUAGGUUCCGUUUUCACAGCUUUUUAGGCUUUUCACGUGUAAGUUUAUGUACAGUAUUUCUACUCUGAUUUAAACUUCUUCACCUAAAGAUGAAUCUCCAAGUAUUGUUUCUUCAUUGUAUUAUGAUGUAUGAGAAUUCCUUGGGUCCACCUCAUCCUGCUCUUUGAGAGAGAAUUAAAUUUGUACUUU